rnacentral:rRNA from 1 species
UGUUCCUUCCGCAGAGUACACUUGCCGAAGCCUUAGUGGCCCGAAAGGGUUUCACCAGCGACUCUAAACAAGUAGGUGGAUUAAAUGCUAGUCUCUUUGGAAGAGGCGACACUAUCAAAUUGCGGGAAGAUCCUGUCAGGUCCACAUCACCGCGGCUCACCGAAAGGUGUAGUGCAGCACCAGGCUAACAACCUUGGGUAUGGUAAUAGUAUGUGGAAUAGGGAGAAUCUGCAGCCAAGCCCCUCUCUUGGGGUGCAGUUCACAGGCCAAAUGGUAGUGGGCACUCUGGUGCUUAAGAUAUGGUCGAGUCCCAAUUGAAAAGUUGGGUACAAGUACUCUGAUUGAUUACAUACAAUCUAUGCUGGUUGUAAAUGCAAAUGUUCCGUAGGUGAACCUGC